rnacentral:rRNA from 1 species
GACGAACGCUGGCGGCGUGCCUAAUACAUGCAAGUAGAACGCACGGAUGCACCGUAGUUUACUACACCGUAUUCUGUGAGUUGCGAACGGGUGAGUAACGCGUAGGUAACCUGCCUGGUAGCGGGGGAUAACUAUUGGAAACGAUAGCUAAUACCGCAUAAGAACAUUUACUGCAUGGUAGAUGUUUAAAAGGUGCAAAUGCAUCACUACCAGAUGGACCUGCGUUGUAUUAGCUAGUAAGUGAGGUAACGGCUCACCUAGGCGACGAUACAUAGCCGACCUGAGAGGGUGAUCGGCCACACUGGGACUGAGACACGGCCCAGACUCCUACGGGAGGCAGCAGUAGGGAAUCUUCGGCAAUGGGGGGAACCCUGACCGAGCAACGCCGCGUGAGUGAAGAAGGUUUUCGGAUCGUAAAGCUCUGUUGUUAAGGAAGAACGAGUGUGAGAAUGGAAAGUUCAUACUGUGACGGACUAACC